UACGUAGGGGGCAAGCGUUGUCCGGAUUUAUUGGGCGUAAAGAGCGUGUAGGCGGCCAGACAGGUCCGUUGUGAAAACUCGAGGCUCAACCUCGAGACGCCGAUGGAAACCGUCUGGCUAGAGUCCGGAAGAGGAGAGUGGAAUUCCUGGUGUAGCGGUGAAAUGCGCAGAUAUCAGGAAGAACACCAAUGGCGAAAGCAGCUCUCUGGGACGGUACUGACGCUGAGACGCGAAAGCGUGGGGAGCGAACAGG
rnacentral:rRNA from 1 species